UACGGAGGGCGCGAGCGUUUGUCCGGAAUCACUGGGCGUAAAGGGCGCGUAGGCGGCCCUGGUAAGUCUGCGGUGAAAGCCCGGGGCUCAACUCCGGAUCUGCGGUGGGUACGGGCAGACUAGAGUGAUGUAGGGGAGACUGGAAUUCCUGGUGUAGCGGUGAAAUGCGCAGAUAUCAGGAGGAACACCAAUUGCGAAGGCAGCUCGCUGGGACGUUACUGACGCUGAGACGCGAAAGCGUGGGGAGCAAACAGG
rnacentral:rRNA from 1 species